UAGGUGACCUGCGGAGGGAUCAUUACACAAAUAUGAAGGCGGGCUGGAAUCUCUCGGGGUUACAGCCUUGCUGAAUUAUUCACCCUUGUCUUUUGCGUACUUCUUGUUUCCUUGGUGGGUUCGCCCACCACUAGGACAAACAUAAACCUUUUGUAAUUGCAAUCAGCGUCAGUAACAAAUUAAUAAUUACAACUUUCAACAACGGAUCUCUUGGUUCUGGCAUCGAUGAAGAACGCAGCGAAAUGCGAUAAGUAGUGUGAAUUGCAGAAUUCAGUGAAUCAUCGAAUCUUUGAACGCACAUUGCGCCCUUUGGUAUUCCAAAGGGCAUGCCUGUUCGAGCGUCAUUUGUACCCUCAAGCUUUGCUUGGUGUUGGGCGUCUUGUCUCUAGCUUUGCUGGAGACUCGCCUUAAAGUAAUUGGCAGCCGGCCUACUGGUUUCGGAGCGCAGCACAAGUCGCACUCUCUAUCAGCAAAGGUCUAGCAUCCAUUAAGCCUUUUUUCAACUUUUGACCUCGGAUCAGGUAGGGAUACCCGCUGAACUUAAGCAUAUCAAUAAGGCGGAGGA
rnacentral:rRNA from 1 species